CAGGUGAGUAAUAAGUUCUUUGUAGGUUUGCAUGGCGAUUAAACAUAUAAUACUAUUGUUUGUGGAAACACCACGUAAAUUUAUUACUGCAAAGCUUUCGAUCCGUAAGCCCGGAUCUUCAUCAGUGCUAAUGAUAUGAAAAAAAAUUGAAUUGAAAUUAAAUCUUGUCCGUGAUUAAGUACAUUGGGCCAUUCCAUUUAAUAUGUGCACCCCCCCCUAUUGAGGGGUCCUUAAAAGUUUUACCCCCUUAGGAAAUUGAACAUCAAAGUGCCGACACAUUCCCCCCCUUGGAAAUUGGCCUAUGUUGUUCGAAGAUCAAAGGGACCGACUGAUUUACCCCCUCGGAAAUUACCAAUAUUAACCCCUCCCUCCCCAUAGGAUUUCCAGACCCCUCAAUGGGGGCGGGGGGGGGGGGUGCACAUAUUAAAUGGAAUGGCCCAUUGGGUCUAUAAUCAAUAUUAAAGGCUUGCAUGAUUGCUGCUGAGUAUGUGCCAGUUUGAAAAAGUAUGUGUAGAAAAUGAAAUAAAAAAUAAAUUUUAGCAAUUAAAUAGAAAAUUUACCUGAUUAGAGGUGGAAGGGCCAUAGACAACAGUUUCAUGUGGAUCCAUAUCUCCAUGUUUACUUCGUAAGAAAGCAUGUGUGGUUGCCAUGACACCAGUCUCAGUACCCUUGUCCACUAGCAGCAUGGCUGAUAUUAUUCUCGUUUCAUAGAGAUAUUCAAGGUACCACUUCCCAAUUAAUUUUGGUUCAGAAUUGGAUAUCCAAACUCUUAACCAUAACAGCUUUCUACUGGCAGUGUCAAUACAUCCAUAGAUAGCCAAUGGAAAAGUGGAAUUUUGAUAUCCCAUCAGCUUAUCAUGACCAUCAAGUGCAUGCACCCAAUUCGUUCCCUUUGUCGUGAAAUGCCCCUUCUUUCUUUUCUUCUUGCCACCAACGCCACCUCUGAUUUCAAGUCCCUCUGGGUCAAGCUCGGUCAUCACAUCAUAGACUUUAUCCCUUGUAACAUUAAGACCAUGUUCUAUCCUGAUUUUUUUGUGCAUGGCCCUGUAACCUAAAAGCAUACCCGGGCAGUUCAAUUCAGUUUGCACCGCUUCGAUUACAUCCAAGACUCCAAUAUUUUGGUCAUUAUAAAACAACUCGAAAUGGCGAAGACGUCUAUCGAGCGACCUGAGACUCCACGUAUAUUGAGGAAAGUCGCGAGUAACAAAGUCUACUACCUCACUUCUUUUUAAUCCUUGCUGAACAUAAUUUGACAAAGCUUCUUUAAGAUUUUCAUCAUCUUUCCAAGGUGCUUCUCUGAUAUAUAUCAGAAUUGCCCGCCAUUUUGUCACAACAAAGGAAUUUUAAUGAGUCAGCUCUCGGGUCGCUGUGCAUUAUGGUAGUGGCAGCCCUCGGCCAUGGUGAAAUUCACUUUUACUUUGUAAUUUUAAUUGUAAAUCAGUAUUUUGUAUUUCAUUUUAAUUUUAUUUUUCAUUUUAAUUUAUUUUUAUUUUUCAUUUUAAUUUAUUUUUAUUUUUCAUUUUAAUUAAAAAAAAAUUAUAAAGAAUAUUUUGGUAGUGGCAGCCCUCGGCCAUGGUGAAAUUCACUUUUACUUUAAUUUUAAUUGUAAAUUAUUUUGCAUUUCAUUUUAAUU
rnacentral:lncRNA from 1 species